rnacentral:rRNA from 1 species
UUCGCAAUGCCCGAAAGGGUGACGAAGCGACGCCGCGUGCGGGAAGAAGGCCUUCGGGUUGUAAACCGCUGUCGGGAGUUUAGAAAUGCAGAGAUGUUAAUAGCGUCUUUGCUUGACUAAGGCUCCGGAGGAAGCCACGGCUAACUCUGUGCCAGCAGCCGCGGUAAUACAGAGGCGGCAAGCGUUGUUCGGAAUUAUUGGGCGUAAAGAGCACGUAGGCGGCUAUGUAAGUCGGUUGUGAAAGCCUUCCGCUCAACGGGAGAACAGCAUCCGAUACUGCAUGGCUUGAGUGCGGGAGGGGAGAGUGGAACUUCUGGUGGAGCGGUGAAAUGCGUAGAUAUCAGAAGGAACGCCGGCGGCGAAAGCGGCUCUCUGGCCCAUAACUGACGCUGAGUGUGCGAAAGCUAGGGGAGCAAACGGGAUUAGAUACCCCGGUAGUCCUAGCCGUAAACGAUGGGCACUAAGUAGAGGGGUUUU